rnacentral:rRNA from 1 species
GACGAACGCUGGCGGCGCGCUUAACACAUGCAAGUCGAACGGAAAGGCCCUGCUUUUGUGGGGUGCUCGAGUGGCGAACGGGUGAGUAACACGUGAGUAACCUGCCCUUGACUUUGGGAUAACUUCAGGAAACUGGGGCUAAUACCGGAUAGGAGCUCCUGCUGCAUGGUGGGGGUUGGAAAGUUUCGGCAGUUGGGGAUGGACUCGCGGCUUAUCAGCUUGUUGGUGGGGUAGUGGCUUACCAAGGCUUUGACGGGUAGCCGGCCUGAGAGGGUGACCGGCCACAUUGGGACUGAGAUACGGCCCAGACUCCUACGGGAGGCAGCAGUGGGGAAUAUUGCACAAUGGGCGGAAGCCUGAUGCAGCAACGCCGCGUGCGGGAUGACGGCCUUCGGGUUGUAAACCGCUUUCGCCUGUGACGAAGCGUGAGUGACGGUAAUGGGUAAAGAAGCACCGGCUAACUACGUG